AGAUGAUGAAGAGACUGUGCAGCUGUGGAAAGCAGUGGGUUUCUUCCACUGUGUCCGUCUCCCGCGCGCACUGGAUCCCAGCGUGGGUGGUCGCUGCGUGGAGUGGAGUGGAGUGCUCAGGUGAUAAUACAUGGAGAGGACUAACUAAUCAUUCUGGAGCUGCAGGAAAUGCUGUCAUGCGAUGCUGAUUGGGUGUCACUGAAAGAACGUGCCCAAUACUAGACACUACCCUCCCAUCAAAGCAAGCUAACAGGGAAACGUACAGAUCUGAAACCAGAAAGAAAAAAAAACCCAAAACGUUUACUUUGCCAUUCUUAAUCAGUGAGUGUGACAGACCUGACCGAGGAGGGCAGCUUUUCAUCA